UUUUUUUUUUUUUUGGAGAAAUGAGACAUUUAAAUGUAUCACAACUAGGCCCUAAACAUCAAAAUGCCUUUUCAGGGCAUGAAGGCAUGUAAGAGUGUAUCUUCUGGAAACCGGCCAGAACCAAUCCAUGGUUGAUGGUCUUCUUAUCUGUAGAAAGUGCUGAAAUCAGUCUCUUGUCCAAUAAAAGCUGUAGUUAUGGCUGGUAGAACAGAGAUUAGUUAGUCAGAAUGUGGUGGUGAACUACAAAUUGUUUUAAUAUUGCUCAUCUUGAGGUCAGUGCUUGUUUAGCUGCUAGAGAAACAAACAAAAAGCUUUGUGGCAGUUAGAAUGUCAUUUAUUUCUUAGGUGUAGGGUACAUGACUUAACCCUUGCCUAGAAUGGCCUUAAGUUCCAUUUGUAAUUUGGUAUCUUAUUGCCACAAAGUGUCUGUUCUGUCAGUCUUAUAAUCUCUAUUUUAACAUUAAUACUAGUCAGUAGUUAUGUUGAAACAAUAGAAGGGACGGGGGUAUCAUGAGGCUCAUCUAAUCUCCUCUCCUGUCAUGGCUGGGAACUCAGUUUUUAAAGAUUUUUCUGGGUUGCCCUUGUCCAAGAGGGAGUCUGUUCAGUUGGUCGGGGAAAGGGGGAUUUAGAAUUUUAUUUUUAUUUUAUAGAGGAGAAAAACCAAGUAACAGAAACAAACUAAGAGAUGAUGCCAAUUUGGAAUUAUCAGAAUUUGAAAUAAGUAUGAUUAAUAUGUUAAAGACUCUGAUAGAAAACAUAGACAACAUGGAACAACGAAUGGACAAUGUAAGCAGAGAGGUAGAAAUCCUAAGAAAUAAUCAAAGGAAAUACUAGAAAUCAAAACCACAGUAACAGAAAUAGAAAAUGCCUUGAUUGGCUCACCAGUAGACUGGACAGUGUGAAAAGGAGAGUAGCUUUUCCUGCCACUCCUCCCUCCCCCACAACACCACUCUGGCUGCACCGUGCUCUGAACUCCAGGCUUCUGCUAAGCUAGUGCCACCUUCAUCUCCCUUCAGCCCCAUCACGAUUAUCUUCCAGGACCUCAUCAGCCACAAUGAGAUGUUCUCUGACAUUUACAAGAUCUGGGAGAUCACAAAUGGGCUGUGCCUGGAAGUGGAGCAGAAGAUGCUCAGUAAGACAACAGGGAACACUGAUGACUCACUCAUUGGCAGAAAUUCCUCCUCUGAAAGUACUGAGGAUGAAGUUACUGAAAGCACGAUAAUCACUAGUGUUGAUAUUGUUACAAACCAUCACUUGCAGGAAAGCAUCUUCACAAAAGAAGCCUACAAGAAGUAUAUCAAAGAUUACAUGAAAUCAAUCAACGAAAAACUUGAAGAACAGAGACCAGAAAGAGUGAAACUUUUUAUAACAGGAAUGAAGAACAAAUCAAGCACAUCUUUGCUAAUUUUAAAAACUACUAGUUCCAUUUUUUUUUCUUUUUGAGAUAGGGUCUCGCUCUGUCACCCAGGCUGGAGUGCAGUGGCACAAUCACAGCUCACUGCAAUUUCUGCCUCCUUUGUUCAAGUGAUUCUCCUGCCUCAGUCUCUUCAGUAGCUGAGAUUACAGGCAUACACCACCAUGCCCAGCUAAUUAUUGUAUUUUUAGUAGAGACAGGGUUUCACCAUGUUGGCCAGGCUGAUCUCGAACUCCUGACCUCAAGUGAUCCACCUGCUUUGGCCUUCCAAAGUGCUUGGAUUACAGGUAUGAGCCAUAUGCCCAGCAAAACUACCAGUUCUUUAUUGGUGAAAACCUAAAUCCACCUGGCAUGGUUGCUCUGCUGAACUACCGUAAGGAUGGUCAGUAUGACCCCAUAUAUGAUUUUUUAAGGAAUGGUUUAGAAAUUAAAAGAUGUUAAGAAAUUUGGUAAUUACUUUGGAUCUAUCACCUGUCAUCAUAACUGGCUGCCACUUGUCAUCAACACAACACCAGAGAUUAAGACAAAUGAGACUGAUGUCAUCUUGAGCUUUUUAAUUGUUUUGACUCUGACUUAUUUGGUGUGGAGGCAUCACUUUUAAGGAAAAAAAAACUUGUCAUGUAGAUUGUCUAAAAAUAAAAUGCAUUUAAACUAAGAAAGAGAGGGAAUAAGUACUCUUGAGGAUACAUCUUCAGAAAUUUUCCAAACUGAUAUAAAAGGGCAUAAAGAAGAAUACAAAAUAAGAACAAUAUCAAAAGAAAGUGGGACAAAUUUAAAAUGUGAAUAUAUGCAUAACUGGAAUAUGAGGAGGAGAAAGAAAAAUGGAGAAGAAGAAAUGUUUGAAGUAAUAGUAGCUGAGACCUUUCUAAAAUUAAUAAUGCCAACCCACAGACCUGGAAAGCUCAGAAAACAGGUAGGAUACAUAACAAAAUAUAUACAACUAUGCAUAUCAUAUUCAAACUGCUAAGAAAAAAAAGAGAAAAUUGCAAAAGAACCCAAAUGAAAAGAAGUCAUCUUGCCCAUGGAGAAACACGGAAAAUAAUUAUAGUUGUCUUUUUGUCAGAAACCAUAAGUAAGAACAGAGUGAAGUGAAUUAAAGUAUUGAAAGAAAAAACCCCAUCAACCUAAAAUCCUAUUUGCAGUAAAAUUUUUCUUCAAAAUUGAAGGAAACAGGCAGACUUCCUCAAACAAAUUUUCUUCAAAAUUGAAGGAAACAGGCAGACUUCCUCAAACAAAAACUGAGGCAGUUUAUCACCAGCAGGCUUACCCUAGAAGAAAUGUCAAAAGAUGGUAAGAAAGCCUUCAGGCAGAAGGAAAAUUAUAUAGAUCAGAAACUGAGAUCUAUAUAAAGAAUAUUCAAGACAGAAUAAAUGAAUUAAUUUUUUUUAUUUUUAAUUGACUUAAAAUAUAACUGUUUAAGGUAUUAAUAGUAAAAUUGUAUGAGGUGACCAAUAUACCUAGAUACUUGAAAUGAAUGACAGCAGCAUCAUAAGAGAUGGAAAGGAUGAGUUGGAAAUACUCUGCAAUAAGCUACAUGCACUAUACAUUAGGCAGUGUAGUGUUUUUCAAAGAGAAACUUAAAUCAGUUAAAAAUAUAUAUUGCAAAUUUGAGGUCAACUCCUAAUUUAAAAAAAUAUAUAUAAGUGUUGUGUUGUGCUACAAAAAGAGAUAAAAUGAAAUCAUAUAAAAUGCUCAAUCAAAACCAGA
ensembl:lncRNA novel transcript